rnacentral:sRNA from 1 species
GUCGGUUGGUUGGCGGUUAGGCCGGUCCCGGAUCCUGAACAGCCCCCCAGCCCCCCUGGAUCGGUUCCCCGGCCAACCGACACCUGACGCUUGCGCUUCCCCUCCCCCAAGCGUACGCCCGCGCGGAUCUCUCCAGCCGCGCGGGCU